rnacentral:rRNA from 1 species
UUUUUAAACUGGUUUGGGAAAACCAAAUAUAUUAUAUAUUUUGCUUUGUUCAAAAUAAGGUUUUCUAAUAAAUUAUGUUUUUAUCAGAUAUGACAGAAUCUUUUUUAAAAUCUCUUCAAUAUGCUUUUAUUGCUUUUGAGAGGUUUUGUUACUUUGAGUAAAAUUAAGUGUUCAUAACAGACGGGUAGUCAUGAUUAGUUCAUUGUGAA